GUGCUUGCUUGGGCAGCACAUAUACUAAAAUGGGAACAAUACAAAGAUCAGCAUGGCCCCUGUGUGAAGAUGACAUGCAAAUUCCUGAAGCAUUUCAUAUUUAU